GAUGAACGCUGGCGGCGUGCCUAAUACAUGCAAGUCGAGCGAACGGACGAGAAGCUUGCUUCCCUGAUGUUAGCGGCGGGCGGGCGAGUAAAACGUGCAUAGCCUUCUUAUAUGACUGGGGUAACUUCGGGAUAACGCUGCUACUACCGGUUAAUAUUUUGAACCGCUUGGUUCAAAAGUGCAAGACGCUCUUGCCGUUACUUAUAGAUGGAUCCGCGUUGCAUUAGCUAGUUGGUAAGGUAACGGCUUACCAAGGCGACGAUGCAUAGCCGACCUGAGAGGGUGAUCGGCCACACUGGAACUGAGACACGGUCCAGACUCCGACGGGAGGCAGCAGUAGGGAAUCUUCCGCAAUGGGCGAAAGCCUGACGGAGCAACGCCGCGUGAGUGAUGAAGGUCUUCGGAUCGUAAAGCUCUGUUAUUGGGGAAGAACAGAUGUGUAUUUAUCUGUGCACGUCUUGACGGUACCUAAGGAAAAAGCAACGGCUAACUACGUG
rnacentral:rRNA from 1 species